UCAUAUCGUUCUCUAAAAAAACUACUGCAUCUAAACUUCAAAGUACAAAUGCUUGUAUUGGUUAUUGAGUACGUAUAGUGUAGCACUCUUGGAACGGUAGCUUGCAUUCCACUUUUGUUGGUGUUCUACUUGUGAACCAUCAUAUUCGUACGUUCAUUGAAAAAGAUGCAAUACCCAAACGUGCAUUACGAAGACAUUUUUGAUACCCCUACACACGAGAGCAAGUCCGUGCUAAGUUCUACGAGUUCAAAACUCGAUUUCGCCAGUUUCACGGCAUCACUCAGCUAACAGGGGUUUUUUAUGAUAUUGAAACAUUUGUUAUGGUGUUUCCCUCCGAGGUACGACCACACGCGUCACAGCACUUUCCAUUGGCUAGACGGUACUAUCAUUAUCCAGAGCCACAUUAUCCCAGUAUGCUAGAGGUUUGGGGCCCAUUGAUGUUGCCAGAUGUUCCUACUGAGGCCCACAGCGAUGCACCGGACAGCGAGAGCAGUCACACUGUGCGUAUUUCGGUGAGA